rnacentral:rRNA from 1 species
CCCUUAGAUGUUCUGGGCCGCACGCGUGCUACACUGAACGGUUCAAUGGGUAAGGUAGUGCGAAAGCAUGACCUAAUCUCGAAAUCCGUUCGUGCUGGGGAUAGAAGCUUGCAAUUAUCCUUCUUGAACGAGGAAUACCUUGUAAGCGUGAGUCAUCAUCUCACGCUGAAUACGUCCCUGCCCCUUGUACACACCGCCCGUCGCUCCUACCGAUUGAGUGUUCCGGUGAGGCUUUGGGAGAAUGGCCUCAACAUGAGUUUAUCGUGUUUUGCCGUUUGAACUUAGUCAAACCUUAUCACUUAGAGGAAGGAGAAGUCGUAACA